CUGAGCUUCACACCUUGGGUCCGGUGUGUGUUGCCCGUGGAGAAACUGAGCUGCGUUCUUGAGCACGAGCCAGACGCCUUGACAGAUGAUUAUUCUUUUCUGCUUGACCUCGAGUUACAGAGAUGCCAGAUGAAGUCAAAGAGGAUACCAGAUGCACCCAGGCUGCUGGGGAGGCACGUACGUCUGAGCUGGCCCAGGGCAGCUGUUCUCCAGGGCAGGGCUUGGCCAUGGCAGUGGCCCCAACGCCUGCAUUCAGCCCAGCCCACCAGGUCACCCCAGUCCAGUCUGUGAUGCUCAGAUCCCCAAGCAAUCACAGGUCUGAGGCCGGAAGAACUAUGAGAAUGCGCAUGGUGAUAUCGGGCACAUGCUCUGAAUGAAGGAAGAGAAACCUAAGCACUUCAAGGGGCCGUGUUCAGAGGAGGGAAAAGACAGCAGGGUCUGCGUGUGAUCCCUACCUGGACUCUCUUAGAAGCUCCAUUAUCCUCUUCUUCAAUGAUGUCUUCCCAUUCCAGAAUUUCUCACCUUAACCUACUCAGCCUAAGAUAAUAAUCAUCUGCGUGCAGAAAUGAGUAAAUGGGGAAUUUUUACUUUUCUGCAA